rnacentral:misc_RNA from 1 species
UAAUAAGUGUUUUAUGGCACUUUUUAAAUCCAUAUCCACCUUGUGUGCAAUGUCGGUCGAUCUUCUUUUUUUUGAGGAUCGACCAAACAUCAACCUUUAUUUUUUAAACCCUUUGUCUGAAAAAUAUUAUGAAUAAACAAUUCAAAAUA